rnacentral:rRNA from 1 species
GAUGAACGCUGGCGGCGUGCCUAAUACAUGCAAGUCGAGCGAACGGACGAGAAGCUUGCUUCUCUGAUGUUAGCGGCGGACGGGUGAGUAACACGUGGAUAACCUACCUAUAAGACUGGGAUAACUUCGGGAAACCGGAGCUAAUACCGGAUGAUAUUUUGAACCGCAUGGUUCAAAGGUGAAAGACGGUCUUGCUGUCACUUAUAGAUGGAUCCGCGCUGCAUUAGCUAGUUGGUAAGGUAACGGCUUACCAAGGCAACGAUGCAUAGCCGACCUGAGAGGGUGAUCGGCCACACUGGAACUGAGACACGGUCCAGACUCCUACGGGAGGCAGCAGUAGGGAAUCUUCCGCAAUGGGCGAAAGCCUGACGGAGCAACGCCGCAUGAGUGAUGAAGGUCUUCGGAUCGUAAAACUCUGUUAUUAGGGAAGAACAUAUGUGUAAGUAACUGUGCACAUCUUGACGGUACCUAAUCAGAAAGCCACGGCUAACUACGUG